AUGUGUAUGAUGCACAGACACUGUCCAAAGACUUGCAUGUUAGUUUAAUUGGUCACUCAAAAUUCUCCCUAGGAGAGAGUGUGUGUGGUUGUUUUUCUCUCUG